rnacentral:rRNA from 1 species
GAUGAACGCUGGCGGCGUGCCUAAUACAUGCAAGUCGAGCGAACAGACGAGAGCUUGCUCCUCUGACGUUAGCGGCGGACGGGUGAGUAACACGUGGAUAACCUACCUAUAAGACUGGGAUAACUUCGGGAAACCGGAGCUAAUACCGGAUAAUAUAUUGAACCGCAUGGUUCAAUAGUGAAAGACGGUUUUGCUGUCACUUAUAGAUGGAUCCGCGCCGCAUUAGCUAGUUGGUAAGGUAACGGCUUACCAAGGCGACGAUGCGUAGCCGACCUGAGAGGGUGAUCGGCCACACUGGAACUGAGACACGGUCCAGACUCCUACGGGAGGCAGCAGUAGGGAAUCUUCCGCAAUGGGCGAAAGCUUGACGGAGCAACGCCGCGUGAGUGAUGAAGGUCUUCGGAUCGUAAAACUCUGUUAUUAGGGAAGAACAAAUGUGUAAGUAACUAUGCACGUCUUGACGGUACCUAAUCAGAAAGCCACGGCUAACUACGUG